rnacentral:rRNA from 1 species
UACGGAGGGGGCUAGCGUUGUUCGGAAUUACUGGGCGUAAAGCGCACGUAGGCGGCUUUGUAAGUUAGAGGUGAAAGCCCGGGGCUCAACCUCGGAAUUGCCUUCGAUACUGGGUAUCUUGAGUUCGGGAGAGGUGAGUGGAAUGCCGAGUGUAGAGGUGAAAUUCGUAGAUAUUCGGCGGAACACCAGUGGCGAAGGCGACUCACUGGCCCGAUACUGACGCUGAUGCGCGAAAGCGUGGGGAGCAAACAGGAUUAAGAA